rnacentral:rRNA from 1 species
CCAGACUCCUACGGGAGGCAGCAGUGGGGAAUAUUGCACAAUGGGCGCAAGCCUGAUGCAGCAACGCCGCGUGAGCGAAGAAGGUCUUCGGAUCGUAAAGCUCUGUCCUUGAGGAAGAAGGAAGUGACGGUACUCAAGGAGGAAGCCCCGGCUAACUACGUGCCAGCAGCCGCGGUAAUACGUAGGGGGCAAGCGUUAUCCGGAUUUACUGGGUGUAAAGGGAGCGUAGACGGUUAUGCAAGUCUGAAGUGAAAGCCCAAGGCUCAACCAUGGGACUGCUUUGGAAACUGUAAAACUGGAGUGCAGGAGAGGUAAGCGGAAUUCCUAGUGUAGCGGUGAAAUGCGUAGAUAUUAGGAGGAACACCAGUGGCGAAGGCGGCUUACUGGACUGUAACUGACGUUGAGGCUCGAAGGCGUGGGGAGCAAACAGGAUUAGAUACCCGUGUAC